ACGACCGCGUCGUUUUGUUGCCGCCGGUAUCGGAAAUAGUUGAUCGCGUCGAGACGGAAGAACUACUACAUCCAGUUUCGAGCAUCGAUUUACGGACGAUGCCGGAUCGUUUUGACAACUCGUAUGUAACAGUUGUGACUAUCUCGCCGUGGCGCGGGGCCAUUUGUCGAUCGAUCAAUGGAGCACACCGUUCGCAAGGCGAAGCGCGCUAGAUAAUGGACAAUGUAAACGACUACGCACCGAUCGUUUCGCGAACUGACACAGCAGAUUAUCCGAGGCACAUACUUGGAUCUAUUUAUGUAUUCAUUAUUCAUGUCGCUUCGUAUCGACGUCAACCGAUCAGUCAAACGAAAUGGUAAAGCCCGAGCACAAAGGGUUUUACCGAGAGCCCGCGGAUCUAGCCCGCGAAGGGGAUGCAGACGGAAAACAAAUGCUACGCUCGACAAAGAAUAUUCGAUCGGACAUCGUAAAACGUCUUUAAGAAAAAUUACGGAUCUCCAUAUUCGAUGCAGGGUGUCUGACCUGGUGCUGUAACUUGGAACGCGUUGCGAAUUUACAUUGUAAAGAGGGACGAAAAUGCGGGAUGAUAGAUGGCGGAUUUCAUGCAUUUAUGACACUUUCGACGCAUUACCAUAACAGUGAAUAAAAAAGCACUGGCUAAUAUUGAAAUCCCCGAAAUAACAUCACUGACGGAGGCAACUGAAACGAUGUCGUCUUCUCUUGGUGUUCAGAAAUUUAUCUUCAUCGGAUCACCGUUUCUUUAAAUUAUUACAUCACUUAAUAUAGACGUAUAAUUUACAUGCACAAAUUGUCGCAGAGAUGACACGAAGUCGUUAAUAAUAAUAAUGGUAAACAUUUAGAUGAUAAAA